AACGAACGCUGGCGGCAUGCCUAACACAUGCAAGUCGAACGAGACCUUCGGGUCUAGUGGCGCACGGGUGCGUAACGCGUGGGAACCUGCCCUUAGGUUCGGAAUAACUCCCCGAAAGGGGUGCUAAUACCGGAUAAUGUCUUCGGACCAAAGAUUUAUCGCCUUUGGAUGGGCCCGCGUUGGAUUAGCUAGUUGGUAGGGUAAAAGCCUACCAAGGCGACGAUCCAUAGCUGGUCUGAGAGGAUGAUCAGCCACACUGGGACUGGGACACGGCCCAGACUCCUACGGGAGGCAGCAGUGGGGAAUAUUGGACAAUGGGCGAAAGCCUGAUCCAGCAAUGCCGCGUGAGUGAUGAAGGCCUUAGGGUUGUAAAGCUCUUUUACCCGGGAUGAUAAGGACAGUACCGGGAGAAUAAGCUCCGGCGAACUCCGU
rnacentral:rRNA from 1 species